UGGGGUAUAACUCAAGUGGUAGAGUGCAUGCUUAGCAUGCACAAGGUCCUGGGUUCAAUCCCCAGUACCUCCU
rfam:Camelus ferus unplaced genomic scaffold scaffold2472, whole genome shotgun sequence.